UACGUAGGUGACAAGCGUUUGUCCGGAUUUACUGGGCGUAAAGAGCGCGCAGGCGGUCGAUCAAGUCGAGUGUGAAAGCCCCCGGCUCAACUGGGGAGGGUCAUUCGAUACUGAUCGACUCGAAAGGCAGGAGAGGGUAGUGGAAUUCCCGGUGUAGUGGUGAAAUGCGUAGAUAUGGGAGGAACACCAGUGGCGAAGGCGACUACCUGGCCUGUUCUUGACGCUGAGGCGCGAAAAGCUAGGGGAGCAAACGGG
rnacentral:rRNA from 1 species